UCUCAUCAUCCAAUAGCUGAAUAGGGACAACAAUAAUGGCCUAGGUGAGAAACAUUGUUGGAGCUCUAUUCAUAGUGACCCUCAUCCUAGGAGCCCCAUGUGUGCUAGCAGGAGAAAUUGCUGAAAAGGUCAGCACGGUAGUUGCCAAGGCAGAUGACUGCAACAAGCAAUGUGAGGGUAAGGGGACGCCUGCCGACAUCGACCAUUGCAAGGAGAAGUGUAGCCUCACCGAGCACUUCAGUUAUGCGACCAUCGGUGUAGGUGCCUGCCGUCAGAACUGCGACAAGCUAAAGAAUGACCAAUCCUCCUUCAACUCGUGUGAAGAGAAAUGUCGUGAGAAGUAUGAGGGUAGGUUGUCACAGAUCAAACAGGGUCAGAAUCUUUAGGGAGGCAUGCCCAAAGUAUUAUCCAACGACAACCGAUAGACCACACUCACAUGGGUGAUGUGUCAACCCAACAUCAACAACCAUAUUUUUGCCCAAGGUGAACCGCUCGACAGCGAAGCCCCACGCAAUCCUUGUAAUGUCAUGUCUUUUUAUAAAUCUUUGUAGCUGGACUAUCAAGUUGGUUGAUAACAAUUGGUAGUUCUUUCCAUUGUCAAUGAAAUUAUUGUUGUAAUAAAUUCUAUUAAUUAAAAAAAUGUGCUAGCCUUUAGCAGUGGUUGAUUAUUUUUGUCUUUCCUUGUAAUACUUUCAGUGCACAUGAAGUUUUUCUAUAUGGGUAUAUAAUUUUGUGAAAGGAUCUGUGCACAUUGACAUUAAAUAAUUUCCUAGAUUGGGUGCAUUAGCAACUGAUGUAUUGUUCCGAUGGCUAUAUUUGUUAUUCACAUGCGAAAAAUGACUGAUGGUCAACAUUUUGUAUAGUAAAAGCAAGAAACCACUUUUGCAAAUGAAAUUUCCAUAGUGUCCACUAUUCCCGUAUUCCGAAGGAUAUAUCCUUGUUGUUAACUAAUGACAUGGUUGCCUCAUUUUAUUGAUUGGUUUAGUACUGAUGGUUGAAUGCAACCGACAGAGUGGGCAUAAGAAAAUUGAAGCGUUACUAGAUGCAUGGUUGACAAAAUACACGAAUGUUUCUCUACGAUGGAAAGCAUUCAAACCGAUGAGAAAUCAAACAUUAGUACAAAUAGUGUUUGAAAUUACAUCCCUAUGUACCAAAUUACUAGGGACAAGUAGGUAAACAUUACUUAGUAAAACAAGGUCUCAAAACAACUACUUACAUUAUUGCAUAUGAUCUAGAUAUCUUGACCAUCACUUCUGUAUGCCUCUUUCCUUAUGGGCAGUUUACAAGGGAGCAAUGUUUUGUUCGGGUAAUGCAUUAUGACACUCAAUGAUAUGCAACCAAUUUUGCCCAUGCUAAAGUUCAGAGAUAGUGGAAGAUCACUAGGUGGAGAGAAACAUGUUAGCCCACAUGGGUAGUGCCCAAUACUACUUUCACUUUAGUGUGUUACCCUAGAACGAGCUAAGAGCACCGUGACUCAGAGAAGGAAAAACUCAAAUAUGGAGCACUUAGCCACCAUGCGGAAGCAUCAUGUGCUUAUUAAAAGUGAAGUAGUUAACUUGUUAGUAUAUUUUUAAUGAAAAGUGCUCAAACAAUAAUCCUUUGUUUUGACUAAUUCUCAAAUUGUCUUUUCAUGAGGAGAAACUGGAUUUCUUAUGACCAGAGCAGUUGUUGUCAUGAUAUUGAGCUACUAUUGCCCUUGUCAACCCCAACCCUAACCAAAUAUAGAAGAGGUCAAUCAAAUCAUAGGGUGAAUACAUACAAGGUGAUAGCAAUGGUUUAGGAGCACAACAAAGAUUGAGAUGACUAUCAUAGGCUACAUGUGCAAAAAUUUAUUUUGGAAGAUUGAUGGUUAAUAUUUAUUGGACAAGGAGCCUAGCACAUGGCAAUGAUGGUUUGGUUUACGGAUAUACCAAAAAAGUUCUAAACCCAUACAUUGUUGCCAACAAUAAACUACUACUUCCGACUAAGCAUUGGCAAUUUGUUUCCACCAGCCAAAAUGGUUGAAACCCAUGCAUGGUUGCCAAGUGAACAACACCUAUGAGGUAAAGUGAAAGACAAAGAAAAUUGGAAGAUGGGCAUCCACUUACCACCAAAUGGUUCAGCGUGAAGCUCUCGUAGCCUCACACCCUUGCCUAAUUUAUGUCCUCCCCUCCACUAUAUAUAAAGGAUGACACAGUAGCUCCAUGAGUAAACCCAUCUCAUCAUCCAAUAGCUGAAUAUGGACAACAAUAAUGGCCCAGGUGAGAAACAUUGUUGGAGCUCUAUUCAUAGUGACCCUCAUCCUAGGAGCCCCAUGUGUGCUAGCAGGAGAAAUUGCUGACAAGGUCAGCAAGGUAGUUGCCAAGGCAGAUGUCUGCAAUAAGCAAUGUGAGGGUAAGGGGACGCCUGCCGACAUCGACCAUUGCAAGGAAAAGUGUAGCCUCACCGAGCACUUCAGUUAUGCGUCCAUCGGUGUAGGUGCCUGACGUCAGAACUGCGACAAGCUAAAGAAUGACCAAUCCUCCUUCAACUCGUGUGAAGAGAAAUGUCGUGAGAAGUAUGAGGGUAGGUUGUCACAGAUCAAACAGGGUCAGAAUCUUUAGGGAGGCAUGCCCAAAGUAUUAUCCAACCACAACCAAUAGACCACCCUCACAUGGGUGAUGUGUCAACCCAACAUCAACAACCAUAUUUUUGCCCAAGGUGAACCGCUUGAAAGCGAAGCCCCACACAAUCUUUGUAAUGUCAUGUCUUUUAUAAAUCUUUGUAGCUGGACUAUCAAGUUGGCUGAUAACAAUUGGUAGUUCUUUCCAUUGUCAAUGAAAUUAUUGUUGUAAUAAAUUCUAUUAAUUAAAAAAUGUGCUAGCCUUUAGCAGUGGUUGAUUAUUUGUGUCUUUCACAUGUAGUUUUUCUGUAUGGGUAUAUAAUUUUUGUGAAAGGAUCUGUGCGCAUUAACAUUAAAUAAUUUCCUAGAUUGGGUGCAUUAGCAACUGAUUUAUUGUUCCGACGGCUAUAUUUGUUAUUCGCAUGCGAAAAAUGACUGAUGGUCAACACUUAGUAUAGUAAAAGCACAAAACCACUUUUGCAAAUGAAAUUUCCAUAGUGUCCACUAUUCUCGUAUUCCUAAGGAUAUAUCUUUGUCGUUAACUAAUGACAUGGUUUUAGUACUGAUGGUUGAAUGCAGCCGAUAGAGUGGGCAUAAGAAAAUUGAAGCGUUACUAGAUGCAUGGUUGACAAAAUACACGAAUGUUUCUCUACGAUGGAAAGUAUUCAAACCGAUGAGAAAUCAAACAUUAGUACAAAUAGUGUUUGAAAUUACUUCCCUAUGUACCAAAUUGCUAGGGACAAGUAGGGAAGCGUUACUUUGUAAAACAAGGCCUCAAAACAACUACUUACAUUAUUGCAUAUGAUCUAGAUAGCAUGGCCAUCACUUCUGCAUGCCUCUUUCCUUAUGGUCAGUUUACGAGGGAGCAAUGUUUUGUUCGGGUAAUGCGUUAUGACACUCAAUGAUAUGCAACAAAUUUCGGCCGUGCUAAAGUUCAGAGAUAGUGGAAGAUCAUUAGGUGGAGAGAAACAUGUUAGCCCACAUGGGUAAUGCCCAAUACUACUUUCACUUUAGUGUGUUACCCUAGAACGAGCUAAGAGCACCAUGACUCAGAGAAGGAAAAACUCAAAUAUGGAGCACUUAUCCAACAUGCGGAAGCAUCAUGUGCUUAUUAAAAGUGAAUUAGUUAACUUGUUAGUAUAAGUUUAAUGAAAAGUGCUCAAACAAUAAUCCUUUGUUUUAAUUAAUUCUCAAAUUGUCUUUUCAUGAGGAGAAACUGGAUUUCUUAUGACUAGAGCAGUUGUUGUCAUGAUAUUGAGCUACUAUUGCCCUUGUGAACCCCAACCCUAACCAAAUAUAGAAGAGGUCAAUCAAAUCAUAGGGUGAAUACAUAAAAGGUGAUAGCAAUGGUUUAGGAGCACAACAAAGAUUGAGAUGACUAUCAUAGGCUACACGUGCAAAAAAAUUAUUUUGGAAGAUUGAUGGUUAAUAUUUAUUGGACAAGGAGCCUAGCACACGGCAAUGAUGGUUUGGUUUACGGAUAUACCAAAAAAGUUCUAAACCCAUACAUUGUUGCCAACAAUAAACUACUACUUCCCACUAAGCAUUGGCAAUUUGUUUCCACCAACCAAAGUGGUUUAAACCCAUGCAUGGUUGCCAAGUGAACAACACCUAUGAGGUAAAGUGAAAGACAAAGAAAAUUGGAAGAUGGGCAUCCACUUACCACCAAAUGGUUCAGCGUGAAGCUCUCGUAGCCUCACACCCUUGCCUAAUUUAUGUCCUCCCCUCCACUAUAUAUAAAGGAUGACACAGUAGCUCCAUGAGUAAACCUGUCUCAUCAUCCAAUAGCUGAAUAGGGACAACAAUAAUGGCCCAGGUGAGAAAUAUUGUUGGAGCUCUAUUCAUAGUGACCCUCAUCCUAGGAGCCCCAUGUGUGCUAGCAGGAGAAAUUGCUGACAAGGUCAGCACGGUAGUUGCCAAGGCAGAUGUCUGCAAUAAGCAAUGUGAGGGUAAGGGGACGCCUGCCGACAUCGACCAUUGCAAGGAGAAGUGUAGCCUCACCGAGCACUUCAGUUAUGCAACCAUCGGUGUAGGUGCCUGCCGUCAGAACUGCGACAAGCUAAAGAAUGACCAAUCCUCCUUCAACUCGUGUGAAGAGAAAUGUCGUGAGAAGUAUGAGGGUAGGUUGUCACAGAUCAAACAGGGUCAGAAUCUUUAGGGAGGCUGAUAUGACCACGCCAGUAAGCAAGAUGUCACAAGCUCAAAGUGAAGCUACAACCACUCAAGUUUUAC
rnacentral:lncRNA from 1 species